GUUCCAGUCUUGGCCAUGUAUGGUUUUAUGUCUUUGUUUUGUUUUCUAAGUUGUCUCUUUUUUUGGCUCUCCCACAGCAUACGGAGUUCCUGAGCCAUGGAUCCACUCCAAGCCACAGCUGUGACCGACACUAAAGCUGUGGCAAUGCUGGAUCCUUUAACCACUGUGCCAACUGGGGAUUGAACCUGCAUCCUGGCACUGCAGAGAUGCUGUCAAUUCUUUGUGCCACAGUGGGAACUCCUGCUUUCUAAAUUGUCUUUAAGCUAUUUGUUAAUUCUAUGGAACCAGACUAUUCAAACUCUCCACCAAAUCUUCAAUCCACCAACAGCAUCAGAUGGAAUUCCUGAGUCCUGCUUCAGCCAUAGAAGAAAGCUCCCUGAGACCAGGGCACUGCUCAGCAAUGCAUGGCCAGUCACAGGAAGAACCACACCUGGGUACCUUCACAUCAUGGAUUUUCCAGGAUAAUUCCUGUUGAGGCAGAUGAGCCCCUGAGUCCCUGGAAGAGAAGGACCAAGUGGAGGAGGCACGUCCACAAAGAAGUGUGGUGAAAAGAACGCUGGCUCCACAUUAAAAAGGAUGAAACGGUGCCAUUUGUAGCAACAUGGAUGGACCUAGAAAUGAUCAAGUUUAGUGAAGUAAGCCAGACAAAGACAAAUACUAUAUGCUAUGGCUUAUAUGUGGAGUCUAAAAAAUAAUACGAGUGAACCAGUAUGCAAAACAGAAAUAGACUCACAGAUAUAAAAAACAAACUUAUGUUACCAAAGGGGAAAGGGAAGGAGGAAGAGGGAACUGGGAGCAUGGGAUUCACAGAUACAAACUACUAUACAUAAAACAUAUAAGCGACAGGAUUUACUGCACAGUGCAGAGAACUAUAUUCAAUAUCUUUUAAUAACCUACAAUGGAAAAUCAUCUAAAAUACAUAUAAAUAACUGAAUCAUUUUUCCGUACACCUGAACUAAAACAAUAUUGUAAAACAACUAUAUUUCAGUUAAAGAAAAGAAAAAAAAGGAAUUCCCUCUGUGGUGCAACAGGAUCUGCGGCAUCCUGGGAGCACUGGGACGCAGAUUCGAUCCCCUGCCCAGCACAGUAGGUUAAGGAUCUGGCGUUGUGGCAGCUGCGGCUUGGGUCAUAACUGCGCCUCGGGUCUGAUUCCUGGCCUGAGAACUCCACAUGCUGUGGGGCAGUCAGACUGCCUCGGCUUCUAUCUCAGCUCCAGUUCCACCCUUACAGGAAGCAUGAUCUUGGGUCCUUAAAUUCACUAUGUUUCCUUUUCUUCCUGGAUAAAAUAAUGAUAAUAUCACUUACCUGC
rnacentral:lncRNA from 1 species